UACGUAGGGUGCGAGCGUUGUCCGGAAUUAUUGGGCGUAAAGAGCUCGUAGGCGGUGUGUCACGUCGUUCGUGAAAACCUGCAGCUUAACUGUGGGCGUGCGGUCGAUACGGGCAUCACUGGAGUUCGGCAGGGGAGACUGGAAUUCCUGGUGUAGCGGUGAAAUGCGUAGAUAUCUGGAGGAACACCGGUGGCGAAGGCGGCAUCCUGGACCAAUUCUGACGCUGAGGAGCGAAAGCCAGGGGAGCAAACGGG
rnacentral:rRNA from 1 species